rnacentral:misc_RNA from 1 species
GUGCUCUUCUCUUCUCUCACUGAAUAAGGUUCCCUUUGGUUUUAGGUGUUAUCUUCUAAAAGUAUGCAUUCUGAUCAGGAGAUGCAAGAUCAGAGAACUAAUUCUGGAAUGGAGGAUUCUACUACAAAGACUGUUGAAUUCCUUCGGGCACGGCUGUUGUCUGAAAGGUCUGUAUCAAGAAGUGCAAGACAGAGAGCUGAUGAAUUGGCCAAAAGGGUAGCAGAGUUGGAGGAACAACUAAGGAUUGUGUGUCUUCAAAGAAUGAAGGCUGAGAAGGCAACAACAGAUGUUCUUGCUAUUUUGGAGGGUAAUGGGAUUAGUGACAUUUCUGAGACAUUUGAUUCAAGCUCU